rnacentral:rRNA from 1 species
UACGUAGGGGGGCAAGCGUUGUCCGGAAUCAUUGGGGCGUAAAGCGCGCGUAGGCGGCCCCGGUAAGUCCGUUGUGAAAGUCAAAGGCUCAACCUUUGAACGCCGAUGGAUACUGCCGGGCUAGAGUCCGGAAGAGGCGAGUGGAAUUCCUGGUGUAGCGGUGGGAUGCGCAGAUAUCAGGAGGAACACCAAUAGCGAAGGCAGCUCGCUGGGACGUUACUGACACUGAGGCGCGAAAGCGUGGGGGAGCGAACGGAUAGAAACCC